GCGUAAUAGAUACAUAACACACAGGCAAUUUGUUUGACGGUGCUAAGGAUACCUAGGGCACAAGGUGCGAGUCCCUCUACCCUCAUGUGCUGUGACGGAAUUCCUUUGCCUCUGAAGAGUAUCAAGGAUUCAAUGCACCUGAGUGAUGGAUGGAAAAAUUCACUGCACAGUGGAGGUGGUUGAGCUGGCAAUGAGCAUGGUAAUGGUUCUGAUGACCCUUGAAAAACCAAAUAAGUCUCCUUCAUCAGGACUGAUGGGCUGGAAUAAAUGGACACUAUUUAAAAUUUUAUGUAUGCUUUAUAUCCAUAUAAAUAAAUUGCUCUUUACUAUAUGUAUUGUAUUUUGAUAAAUACAUUUGUAAUAAAAAUUCUCAUUAACUUUGUUAUUGCUGUUUUAAACUUGAUUGAAAGAAAAGUGACAAAUGCAAAAAUAGUAAAAAUGUCAUGCCAAUUAAUUUUGAUAUGAAUUAUGAUAGUGGAUUAUCUUUAGAAGUACAUUCUUACUAAUUGUUGGAUCAACAGGCUUCCUACGAACACUUGAACUUCGGGAAGUUAAUUUUAAAUUGUUGGUCCCCCUCCUUCGUUAUGUCAUGCAGCCUUGAGGAAUUCUCAUUAAAAUGUAGAGCAGCAAUCAUCAACCUUUCCCAUAAAAAAGGAUAAAAUAAUUGUUACGAUAGUGCUUUAUAAUGUAUUUACUGUAAUUCUUUUAUUAUUUUGAAAUAAAAUGUCCCCAUGUAAAUAUUGAAAUAAUUUGCAGUGGGGGAUCCUGAUCAUUAAGAGGGGGGGGGGGUAUCCCGAAGGUCGGAACCCUCCCCUUUCAUCAGAAAAUGUUGCUAAAAAACACCCACAUAUAUAGAUGGUGGAACCACCCUUUAACAACUAAAAUUUAAUAAUGGUAUAACCCCCCCCCCCUUUCCAAAAUUCCUGGAUCUGCCCAUGAUUUGUGUAAAUUAAAUUAGUGAAGAGGGGUUUCCAUCACAUGUCAUUUUUGGAAAUAAUUUAAUUUAAUUUUCAUUAACGUAUAAAUCCAAAGGAUGUACAUGUAGGAGUUAUAACAGGGGUUACUGGCCACCCACUCUACACCCCUCAGCCUUCACUUGAUUGAUCAGAAUUGAUAUCUUUGCAAUGUUAACAUUUAAUCGUGUUGGAAAAAUAAUAUUGCCCACUAAAAGAGUAAUAGAAGUCUAUGUAUAUUUAAAUUAUGCAAAGUUCUUGAUAACAUUACUAAGAUAGGGCAGUGGAUCUAUAUGACAGAAUAUGUUUAAACGGCAAUCUAAUCCAGGGUCCUGAUCAGAUGGGGGCAUGUUAGAAACUCGUCAUAUGGUACGUGUAUUGUAACUUAUAUAGUGAAAAAAGUUAAUAAACGUCACAGACUACAAUACAAAUUAUCAACUUUCUUACCGAUGGAAUCUUCAUAAUGAAGUUACACACGACGUACCCUAUUUUUCUCCAGCUUGACGGCAGCCUGGCGCUUGGGUUUAGGCUCGGGCGAAGAGAGGAGGGCAAGGUUGAGGUCGUCCACUUUCCUCUUAGGAUAAAGCGAUAGAAUCGCACCAGAGCAGAGGCGUUUUUUCGCAGGAAUUACACAUUCUCUCAUCAGUGAAAACUGAGCCUGGAAACAUCCGUCCGUGAAAUGCGCACUACAAACAACAGUAUACUGGGACGAUCCGGUCCAGUCUGCACGAGUCAGUCUCACAAAUCGAGUCCAUGCUGCUCUCUGUCGCUCGUCCUUCGGGAAAAAAUGGACGGAAACGGUGUCCGAGGGCCUGUUGUUGCUUCCUACAACUACACACAUGCGUCCCUUACUCUUACUUGCCAUUUCUCUUCGAAUAUUUUCUUCUUUUAUACUUUCGUCUUGUAGUGAAGAAACUGCCAAUGAUGGGUUGUGACGUCAGAUCCGGUAUUACAUUUUCAGUCUCGUUUUCGGUAUCGUAAAGGUGUGAAUUUACGAAGAAUGUUGCCCAUUAUAUCGUUUAUUGAUUAAAAAAUAACUGAAAUAAUUUUACUAUCGGUAAAAUACAUAAGAUAAACCAAAAUGUAUAUUUGACUUCCGGGACACUUUAACACUUAGUCUUAUGAAGCAAAACAACAAAGUUAUUCAUGAGUUAAGUAUUUCAUUUGGACAAUUCAGUUUCCCUGUGAAAAGUGUUAAAACAAUCUUGAUAAUCUACAGAAAUGCUCAUGGCUUGUUAUAUUUAAUAGUUAAUAAUACUACUGCAGUAGAGUUACUGUAAGUAGUCUAGUACUUUAAUAAGUUAUACCUUUAACAUUGUACCUUAUGUUUUUUAGAUUCCAGUGUGUAGUUAUGUGGCAGAAUCAUUAAUUUAAUGGACUAUAAGAUUUAAAUAUAUAUAACAUAUAUUAAAGUUUAGAACAAUGGUUUCCAAUACACCUUUCCUUUUCCAAAUGCUAGGGUAUUGAUAUAUGCUUUUCUUGUGCAGUUCAAACGUAUGAUAAACACUUUUAUCUAUGCAUAAAACUGCAAAUAAUAGACUAUUCUCGUUCAAAGCUACAGUUUGUGUACGAAGAAUGUCUCCAUGAUAGUUUAUAUCUAACAUUAUAGUUUAUAUCUAACAUUAGACCCUAGUUAUUUCAGAAUUGAUAGAUGAUGCAUUCCAGUUCAUAGAUUAAUGGCAACCCACAAAUUCUGGCUGGAUGUCGAUGGUACUACAUUUGCUGGAUGUCACCACUGGUUCGAUGUCGCUAAUGUGGUUUCACCGUCCAAGUGGGAAGUCGCCGAUCUGGAAGGCUAUCGCAGAUCUGGAGGGAUAUGACGAUUCCGGAUAAACAUUACCUUUCAGGAGGGAUGCCACGGAUUUGGAUGAAUGUCGCUGAUCUGGAGGGAUACAACAGAUUUGGAUAGAUGUCUCCAAUUACUCUGGACUGACGUCGCCCUUCUUUGAGGAAUAUCGCCACUCUACCUGGAUUCCAAUUCAUGGAUAUGACAGUUGGACUGAGUAGUUCAAUUCGUGUGAUAACCUCCAAUAUGCAUCUAUGUCAUUAUAAAACGGGGAGGAGUGUAGUCGAGUUAGGUAAAUAGACCCAUGCGUAAUGAACCAUGACUUUGCGCACGAGCGGGUUUCCCGCACUGAGACAUUCACUCGAAGUCAAACCAUGUAACCAUUAACACGUAUUGUAUUUUCCUAUGUACUACACAUGUACCUGUGUGUCAGUUAUGUCCAACAUGCCAGUGUUGAACCUCUGCCAUUUGUAUGUAUGUAUGCUUUGUAUUAUAAAUGUCAUACUACUAUUUACUAAAUAGUAGUUGCAUUUUCAUAUAU